CGGGCUGCUGAGCCAGGUCAGAGGGCGGGUCCACGGCCGGAAGUGAGCGUCCCCUCGCAGGAAGGAGGCGUGAAAAAGAGAGGAACUGACCUCACAGCGGGGGUCACUUUGGGCCCCUCAAGGAAGAGGGAGUCAGCUGGAGAUGCUGGAGUUUGGAGAGAUGAAGGCUGGACCGAUGGACUAGGGGGUCGUUUGCACAGAGGACUGCAGCUGGGAGAAUGUCAGGGGGGUAGAAAGGAGGGGAGGGAUCCAGCCUGAGCCAAUGGGGGAGGGGUGGGACCAGCCACAAGGAGGAGAGACUGAAAGGGGAGGAUGAUAGAAGACAGCAGCAUCUGGCCAGCUUUGGGAGGAGAGGCUGCCAGGUCAAGGAGGAUGAGGAUGGAGAAAAGGCUAUGAGAUCGUGACAAUGAGAUGGACACAGGAAACCUUGGGGGACAGUUUCAUGAUAAAGGAGGAAACUGAGGCAGUCCAGGGACCGGUCACACCAACAGUAAACUGCUUUGCCAGACUUUGGCCCCAAGACCCUCAGGCCCCAUCUGAGAUACUGUCCCAGCGCACAGCACAACCCAGCUGCAUCAUCCCCGUCACAGGAGCUGUCUGGGCUCUACCAGGGCCUCAUGAGGACUGUAGACCAGCUAAGCAGGCCAGCUCCAGGGGUGGGCCCAGACUCCAGCUGAAUCAACAUUACCUUGGAGACCCACUCCUGGCCUUCCUACAUUCACCAGCCCUGGCUGCCCUCUCACAUCAUGACUCAGGCUGAGCAGCCGGGGCUUUGGACAGAGUGGAGAUGUCCACUGUCCCUCCCAGAGGGAAGACAGGAGUCAGUCCAUCUGAACCCUCUGCACCUAGCCGCUUUCCAAGGUGGUCGCAGCCCCGAGGAUGGCCAUUUCCUCGGGAUCCAAAGGCCUGGGGGUGAGCUCUGCUGGUGACCUGCCCUUGCCAUAGAUGGGACCUUGUGAAUGCCUCCAGCCAACCCCGACCCCAUCAGCCUCCCCCUCUGGGCUUGGGAAAAAUGAGUCAAUGCUCAGCCAAA